GAAUCAUAAAAAGAUGGCUAGCUUAAAAGAGAAAGCUAUCUCUAUUUCUGAGUCUCUUGUUUUUAAGGAUAGAUCUGAACAGCAUGCAAGGAGUUCCUGUAUUUUAACAAGGCCAUUCUAAAUUACAACCCAUGACAGCAUGAGUGAGUUCACGUAAACACAGCUAGUGGUAUCAUGAGUAACAAAAUCUGUCUCCAUCAGACGCCCUUUAUCCUGCGUAACAGACCUUCAUGCUAAUAGGCACUCAGGCUAAGUGUUAACCAGCUACAGCUGGUUUGUGCUAUAAAAAGAACUAAUGAAAACACAAAACCUAACUUCUCUAUUCCACUCUGGACAGCACGUCAAAGCUACACAAAGACAGCCUUUUCCAAGUGCUCUCAGUGAAUGAACUGGCCAGGUCUGGUUCUCUGAAGUUGUUUACUGAACAGUGUGUGCAAGGGACUCAGUAAGCACGCAUGGGCAGGGGCGGGGUCUGGGGGAGGGGAGGGGCUGGUCACGUGAUCUGGUGAACAAAGCCAAUUUUUCGGAACGAUUUUGGAUUUAGUUUUAUAACAAACAGGAGGCAGAAAAAAAUUUCAAACGCAGAGCAGAAACUUCUGCAGAGACAACCUGCAUUGGGAUUUCACACCAGAGAGAGGAAGAAUGGUCAUGUGCUUAAGGCAAAAAAGUGGUGGGCCAGGAUGGCCCACACCUGAGGGUCCUCACACAGCUGUGUGCAACAGACCUAUCCAAGACCCGGAAAAGCCCACUUCCACCAGCUUCCCCUGCAAAGAAAAAAACUAAGUGAAAGGACAACUGACAAAAUGGGAAUAAAGAAUUUUGCCAGCUAUUCCUUGGACAGAGGACUAAUCUAAAAUAUAUGAAGGACACAAAAAAUUAGAAACUCCCAAAAUAAAAGAAUGG